AAUAAAUUUAGUCCUUGGAACGAAUCUUAUAUUACUAAAACGGGAUCGUGCACUUGCGAUUAAUUUCAAAAUCCUUAUUUUGAGCACAUCACAGGGGAUAGGCUAACACGCAGCAGCUUUACAAUUUUUAAUAAAACAGACAGAAUCGAUCAAAACAAAACAGAGCGGAGCAUGUACAGAGUUGGGGCGGCGAUUUGAGGGUUUGGGGAAUCGUUCAAUUGCAGUGAAAUCGGGGGGUAAGUCCUGAUUUCUGUGUUUAUUCGUAUGAUUAUGGCUUGCUUGUUUGUAUUUUUGUUGCUGGAUAAUGGUUCCAUCUGUGUUGGGGAUGAGUUUGGCUGAUGGCGGAGGGUGAAAGAAGAAAGAGAUGGGGUCGGAGUUGUGGUUGAAAGGGAAGGAGAUGGUUCAUUGGUGAGUAGUUAAAGCAGCGAUGGUGGGGAGAUGGGUAGAGAAACAUAGUGAAGGAGAGGUUAGAGUCGAGAGGGAGAGUUGAAGGCCGAAUUUGGUGAUUGAUUAGGUGUGUACGACUGUAUGUAUGGAUUGGCAUAUCUGUUCAAUGGUGGUGAAGGAAGUGGAUAAUCGUGACUCAGUGUUGCUCCGGCGAUGCUGUCGUGAAAAGAAAAGAGGUGAGCAGAACAGCUCUUCAUGGCUGGGUUUGUGUUCGGGAUGGGUUGGGGUUUGUUUAGGUGUCGAUUGUUGGGUACUGGGUGUUGUAUGGUUGUGGAAGAUGUGAGUUUAGGAGGACAACGGCUCGUAGUGGCCGUCGACAACACAUAUAACGCUACUGGAGGACACUGGCAGUGGGAGGUUGUUAGAGGCUGGGAAUGGCAUGUGGUCAGGAGGUGGUGUGGGUUUGAAGUUCUGAUAGUGUAUCGGAGUUCUGAGUUGCUGCAACCUGUCGGGGACAACGACAGCCGUGAAAGAAAUAGGAAGCAGCGACAGAGUGAGAAGUUGAAAGGAUGGGUCUUGAAUGGACAGCAAUCAUGGAGGUUGAACAGAGUGAUGUAGGGAGUGGUCAGAACAUGGUAGAAUAAAACAAGAAGAAACGGUGGUUUAAAGCUUGCUAGAAUCGGGCCAGAGAUGAUGUAUGUUCUAGCAGCUAGAAAGAGAGUGUGAGUUGAGAAAGUUAAAGGUGGGUGGCCGGGUGUUGGUUGAAUUGUGUUUUGGUAACAGUUGAGUUGUAGGCAGUGGUUUUGGUGGAAGUCGAGGAUAGUGGAAUGAGUGGAUGAAUGGAGAUGACCAAGUAAUGAAUUGGAUAUGUGUAAACCAAUUAUGGGGUGAGAGUAUAGUAGGAGUAUUUACACAUAAUUCAGUGGGGGAUCUGAGGUGUGAUAACUUGGCUGAUGUUAAUAGAUUACAAGGCUAACCAAGGAUUGUAGAAGGAGGCCAGGAAGGGUGGAUGUCAGAGUUGGAGCAAUAUUCUAUGAUUAUUAAGAUUUGUUUAUAUUAUUGUUAUUGUUAUUAUUAUCGAUAUUGAUAAUAAUAAUAAUAACAAUAAUAAUAUAACUCAUGUUAAUAAUAACAACCAUGGUAUUAAUGGCUAAUUAGUUGUUUAGUUGACAUUAUUUGCGAGAGUAAGAAUGUUUGAGAUAAUUGAGUAUGGGCAACAGUCUGGGACCAUGCAUUUAGAAUUCAACUUCAAUUAUUCGGAUAGUUAUUGUGAUUGAGAUUACAAAACUGUAUUAUUAUUACUGAGCUAAUACAUGUUUAUUGUUAGAACUUA